UACGAAGGGGGCUAGCGUUGCUCGGAAUCACUGGGCGUAAAGCGCCCGUAGGCGGAUUGUUAAGUCAGGGGUGAAAUCCUGGAGCUCAACUCCAGAACUGCCUUUGAUACUGGCGAUCUUGAGUCCGGGAGAGGUGAGUGGAACUGCGAGUGUAGAGGUGAAAUUCGUAGAUAUUCGCAAGAACACCGGUGGCGAAGGCGGCUCACUGGCCCGGUACUGACGCUGAGGUGCGAAAGCGUGGGGAGCAAACAGG
rnacentral:rRNA from 1 species